rnacentral:lncRNA from 1 species
GGUAGCCAUGUAAGGAUUGCCUUGUCUACUAGAAGAUAUUAAGAUGAUAAUGACAAUGCCAAGAUAAUCUGAGAAGAGAAUGAUUACAAUCAGCAAAGGGCUCAGAAAGGAAGCAUUUCCUAGGGAAGGGAGAGAGCAAGUGAGGCAGAUCAGAAUCGAACCAGUCGAGGGGGGCAGUUGAUGGACGAGAUGAAUUUGGGAUAUCUUUCAGAGGAAGGCACUUCAAAUUCUUGUUAUUUAUUUCACUAUGGUGCUCUCUGUGAUUGGAACAGCUUGAUAUAGUUUGGCUCUGUGUCCUCACCCAAAUUUCAUCUUGAAUUGUACUCCCAUAAUUCCCACGUGUUGUGGGAGGGACCCGGUGGGAGAGAAUUGGAUCACGGGGGCAGGUUUCCCCCAUACUGUUCUCGUGGUGGUGAAUAAGUCUCACGAGAUCUGACGCUUUUAUCAGGGGUUUCCGCUUUUGCGUCUUCUUUCUCUCUUCGCCUGCUGCCGUCCAUGUAAGAUGGGACUUGCUCCUCCUUGCCUUCCACCAUGAUUGUGAGGCUUCCUCAGCCACGUGGAACUAUGCCCUGACCUUCCGGGAAACCCUCGGUGAGAGGCCCACAGCCUCGCUUCUAGGGUCACCACUGCUUCUUCCAGUCUAGCCAAACAGCUCCUAGUACAGCUCAGAGCACCCUGCAAGGAGGGCACGUGUUAAAUCGAGGAGCACACAUGCUCCACGAGGAAUUCUUUGCUUUGAGGCCAUGCACAGAGGUGGGUUCACUAUGAAGCUUGUGAAAUAAGCUUCAGGGCCCGCAUUUGCAUGGGCCACAGAGAGUCUGGGAGCUGCAGAAGGUUCAAGGGAAGAGGAGCCAUCACAAGCAGAAUAUUCUAGAAGGCAUUUCUGGCAAAUGGCCCAAAGAGGCCUCAGGAGAAAAGAACUUGAGUCUUCAAGGAUGCAAUGAGAAGGCACCAUCUGUGAGGAACAGGCCUCCGACAGACACCGAAUUUGCUGGCACUUUGAUCUUGGACUUCCCAGCCUCCAAAAUUAUCCAUAAUGGAUUCCUGGGACAUUUUCAGAUCUCCUUCCAGCUUCCUCUUCGCCCUUUCCAAGUCCGCCCGCAGUUUCUUCUCCUGCUCUAAGGAACCCUCAAGCUGAGAAGACACACAGAGACAAGGGCUUGCUCUGUUGCCCAAGCUAAAGUGCAGUGGUGUGAGUGUAGCCCACUGCAUCCUCACACUCCUGUGCUCAAGUGAUCCUCCCACCUCAGCCUCCCAAGUAGCUGGAACUACAAGAUGGAGUCUCGCUGCGAUGCCCAGGCUGGAGUGCAAUGGUGCAAUCUUGGCUCACUGCAACCUUCGUUUCCCAGGUUUAAGCAAUUCUCCUGCCUCAGCCUCCCAAGUAUCUGGGACUACAGGCGAGCGUCACCAUGCCUGGCUAAUUUUUGUAUUUUUAGUAGAGAUGUUUAGUAGAGAGUUUCACCAUAUUGGCCAGGCUGGUCUUGAACUCCUGACCUCAAGGGAUCCGCCCACCUUGGCCUCUCAAAGUGCUGGGAUUACAGGCGUGAGCCACCGUGCCUGGCAAUGUUUGUAGUUUCUUUCAUGAAUUUACCUCCUUUUAUUCUUUAAUCCCUGCUUAUCUCUAAAGAGUAAGUAACUGAAAGUAAUAAAACGGAAUUUUCUCAACAAUAUUUUAUAAGUUGAUUUCUUUUUCUUUCCUACAGGAAACAACCCAAUUUGCCAUCUUAAUUUGGAGUCUACUUUUUCUGAAUGACUCAGUUUUCUCUGAUACUUAAUCAAGAUGCAGCCUUGGGGGAAAAUGUCAUGUCCCAGUCUCCCCCAUGUUCCUUUCCCUUCAUCCCACUUUGUCCCCGGGGUCUAGCAUGACUGUGUGUUUGGAUUGGGGAAGUGAAGGCAGGAAAGUCGCUUCCCCAAAUCCGCAUCCACACAGGGUCUUAUGUUAGAGUUGAUGUUAUCUCUAGGCGAGGUUAUGCAAUGUAGUUACAGAGACAUUGUGAUUAGAUUCAAAGAAAAUGAUUUUCAUCAUUGAAGUUUACGCAUGUGCCCAUUUCCUAUUUAUUACAUUCCCUGGCCCAGAGGACAUUAGGCUUUCAUUUUUAAAAAAUGAUCUCAUUAUCUAAUGAAUAAUUAUAUUUCAUAUAUUUUAUUAAUUUAUUAAAUGUAUGCAUUUAAAAUGGCAUAUAAUGUUAAAACUCUAUGUUGGCUACUAUUUAAAAGUAUAUUUACUGGUAAUCU